rnacentral:rRNA from 1 species
UACGUAGGCGGAAAAUUAAGUCAGUGAUGAAAUCCUGCAGCUUAACUGUAGAACUGUUAUUGAUACUGAUUUUCUUGAAUUCAGUUGAGGUAGGCGGAAUGUGUAAUGUAGCGGUGAAAUGCUUAGAUAUUACACAGAACACCGAUUGCGAAGGCAGCUUACUAAGCUGAUAUUGACGCUGAGGCACGAAAGCGUGGGGAGCGAACAGGAUUAGAUACCCUGGUAGUCC